AACAUAAUAACUAAGAAAUUUGAUUGAUUCAUCCUAUGCAUCAGUCAAAAAUUGGUAGAUUGACCGAUCCAUCAAAAAAGAAAAUUAUUAUUAUGGUAUGUCAAGGAUAUUCCAAUAAUUAUAAAAAAAAGAUGAGAUUCUCCAUUGAAAUAUGAAAAAGGAUAGGAAAAUUUUUAAAAAUAUUUCUUCCGGGAAUUGGUUCCCCAAAAAAAAUAAAAAUAAAAGAAUAUAAUAAUUCAUCAAACCCACAACAUUGACAGGCCCGGCCCGCUCCGCUUCCGAAGGCCUUUAGCCGCGUCUUCCGCCGCUUCCCGACAAUCCACCCGCUCACAGGUUCCCCAAACCGUAUCCGAUCGAUCGAUUGGAACUCGUGCGCCGGUGAAAUCGGAGAAGAACAAGGGUGGUGAGUUGGGGGCUGAAGAAUACAGCAGAGAUGAGUUCUCGUCCUCCCCCUCUGGAGUUCGAGGUCUGCUACGAAGCGCAAUCCAAGUACAAUACAAGUUUCCCAGCUGCCUUGCCCCGUACUGUUCCUUGGCAUGCUUCAAGAGCAUAAAGCAAACUCAAGUGAUACGGGAGGCCUUAAAGGUUGGAAGCCUACGAAGAAUAAUACAGAAAAAUUGAUGGCAGUGAUGAUCCGGAAAAUGUAAUUGUUUGCCACCUUGAAAUCACUGUUGCCUUUUGCUCUUCUGGUCGAACACUCGUUGACUUCAGUUUAAUUCGUGAAGUAAGGUGUAUCUCUAAGCUUAAGCCCAAUCUGUAACAUUUCACAGCAAUUGACUGAAGCCAUGGAAGGACAGAUUCUUCAAUAUUUUGCGAGGAAGAUCCUCUCCAUUGUAAGUUCACAAGAUUGAGGUGUACGAGCUGAUAAAAAAACUAAUCGAGGUCGUCUCUCUCAUAUCAGUACCGAGGUAGGAUGAUCCUGACAACGCCUUUGAUUAGAUCUAUCCUACAGUGGCAGCCUCCUUAAUUGGGUUGAGAUCGAAGAUGACUUAAAACAUCAAAUAUAACUGUUUCUAGCUGGUUCAGGUUCCAGAGAGAUGCCGUAUCCUGACACAGCAUGAUGUGUCGAGAGUUUUUUUUUUAUAUUUGUAUUUAUUGUUAAAAUAUUUAUUUCCUAUAGCGUCCAU